UUAUUAUCCCAAAACCUAAAUCUUCACUUCCUCUUUCAUGAAAAUUCAACAGCCGCUCCUUCAUUUCUUUCUUUGUUCCUUUUUUUUUUUCCUUCUUUUUCUCAACAACAUCUUCAAUAUUUCAUGAGCUCACCUUCUUCAAUCAUCUCCUCUUCUUCUAACAAUCAACCCAUGGUUCAAUUGUUGCUUACAACCCCAAAUUUAUGUAAUAAUAACAGACCAAAUUCUCCCUUCUCUUCUUCAUGACACCCUUUCCGCCGCCACAACCCUUUGUCUGGAUUCUUCCAUUUUCCAACCUUCAAUGACUCCUCCACAACCACCAAUGCACCAUCUUCAUCCUUUCUAUAUGAUUUUAAAAUUUUACAACCAUUAACUUCUUAGUUAGAUCUUGACAACCACGGGUAAUUUUUCAAAAAACUAUUAACAUAGAAAUACUCCCUUAUAUCCCCUUCCAAAACCCACAAUUAUUAUUUUUUCAAUAGGAGCAAGUUCGUCGGAAACCACCGCGCCGGAAACCAUCGCCGCCGCAGCUAUCACUUUUCCGGUCAAGUUACCUUUACUCUCACAAUAUAGAAAUUUGGCUUGGUUGACUUGAAAAAUGGCUUGGUUCAAUGCUACAUUAGUUCAGUUACUUAAUUUUUGGACUACAAAUAUCCUUGAAAUGGACAGGUGGCAAAUUAUGGAGCAAGGGCAAAACUGAUUUUUCCAUGGU